rnacentral:misc_RNA from 1 species
AGUCGUAACAAGGUUUCCGUAGGUGAACCUGCGGAAGGAUCAUUAACAAAUCUUUCUAUAUAAACCCGUUGCAUUGGCCGUGAAUGCUGCUAGCAAGUCAAAGACUUGGCUUGGACUAUAGUUCAAACUAGCAGUUGAAGCGGAGUAAGGCUUGUAGACUAUGGAUUUUUCCAUGAAGCUAUGGCUUUAAGGAAGACUUUGAAGAGUUGACUCGUGAAGCUGUGGGCUUUAGAGAAGGCUUUGAAGAUAAUGAAUCUGUAUGUUGAAGAGCCUUUAUAUAAACGUCUAUUUGUUGUCUAAGUGUUCGUAAUCAUAAUAAAUACAACUAUUAACAGUGGAUCUCUUGGCUCCCA